AUUGAACGCUGGCGGAAUGCUUUACACAUGCAAGUCGAGCGGCAGCACGGGGGCAACCCUGGUGGCGAGCGGCGAACGGGUGAGUAACACAUCGGAACAUGCCCAGUCGUGGGGGAUAACACUUCGAAAGAAGUGCUAAUACCGCAUACGUCCUGAGGGAGAAAGCGGGGGAUCUUCGGACCUCGCGCGAUUGGAGUGGCCGAUGUCAGAUUAGCUAGUUGGUGGGGUAAAGGCCUACCAAGGCAACGAUCUGUAGCUGGUCUGAGAGGAUGAUCAGCCACACUGGGACUGAGACACGGCCCAGACUCCUACGGGAGGCAGCAGUGGGGAAUUUUGGACAAUGGGGGCAACCCUGAUCCAGCCAUUCCGCGUGAGUGAAGAAGGCCUUCGGGUUGUAAAGCUCUUUCGGCAGGAACGAAACGGCGAGCUCCAACAUAGCUUGCUAAUGACGGUACCUGAAGAAGAAGCACCGGCUAACUACGUGCCAGCCGCCGCAGUAAAAC
rnacentral:rRNA from 1 species